AGCGAACGCUAGCGGCGGGCCUAACACAUGCAAGUCGAGCGGGGAGCAAUCCCAGCGGCGAACGGGUGAGUAACACGUAGGUAAUGUGCCUUUUGGUGGGGAAUAACCGUGGGAAACCAUGGCUAAUACCGCAUAUCGUGCUUCGGCAUGAAAGCCUCUGAGGCAACUCGGUGGCGCCAGUUGAGCAGCCUGCGUCCCAUUAUUUAGUCCUAGUUGGUAGGGUAAUGGCCUACCAAGGGUACGAUGGGUAGCUGGUCUGAGAGGAUGAUCAGCCACACUGGAACUGAGACACGGUCCAGACUCCUACGGGAGGCAGCAGUGGGGAAUAUUGCGCAAUGGGGGAAACCCGUAGACGCAGCCACGCCGCGUGAGUGAUGAAGGCC
rnacentral:rRNA from 1 species